AUGGCUUCGCCGCCGACGGGACCCGCGGCGCCGGCGGGCUUGGAGAGCAUGGAGGGGCUCGCCCUCGACAUCAUCAUCGCCAAGGCCGGCGCGCGCCCCGCGGCCGCGCUCGCCUGCGCCAGCACGCACCUGCGCGCCGCCGUGGCCGAGGACGCCGUCUGGCGCAGCUUCUGCGCCCGAGACCUCGGCCUCGACGCGCCCCUCGACCCCGAGGACCGCCCGCUCCCCUCCUUCAAGGAUGCAUAUAAAGUUUGGUCAGAGUCUUUUGGUAUGUAUCCAUUACCCCUGGUAAAGAGAGUGAAACUUUUUUGGAGCUCAUUAAAAGGAUGGAUUUCUGAAAACUUUCCUGAAGCACUCAGAACUUUGAGUAAAGGUGCUUCUGAAGCUCAGAUAAGAUCAGCAGAAGAUGAUCUUGGUUUCAAGCUUCCUAUGCCCACAAAGCUAUUGUACCGCUUUUGCAAUGGUCAACUGCCUUUCAGUAAAAACGAGGAUAUACGCAUGGCUCCUCUUGGCAUAAUAGGAGGCUAUGUGUUUUAUAAUUACAAUGUGAAUGUGCACUUGUCAUCUCUUGAGCAAAUGGUCGAAGAGACAAAAGAAUUUAAUCUCCACUUGGAGGAGCAAGGUCUUCCCAUUGGGCCCAACCUUGCAUUAGUGGCAAGUUCAUGGUAUCAUCCUAAAACGUUUCUUCUCAAUUGUUCAAGUGGUGAUCUUUACGUUGGCACUGCCAACUUAUCAGCUGGAGAAAUGAUGCCAUGCGUGCCAGAAUCAUUGAUAAAGCCAACGAAUAGUGAUAUGCCCCAAGAUGGAUUACUUUUGUGGUUGGAAGAGCACCUUAGGCGCUUACAGAAUGGCAUGAUCAAGAUCCGCCCGCUUAGUACGUCGAGGUAUAUCUGCUUAUAUCCAGAAGCAUCCCCAUUGUGUUCGUCAGCAGUGACAAAUGGUGUAAAGGUACGUGCAUCUGCUGUCUUUGUGCCAGAACAUCCUCGUCGGGGGCAUUUGGGCACACAUCUGUACAGCUAUUCCAUCCGCCUGUCAGUUCCUGAGGCAUGCAUGCUAGGUGGGGUUUACUUUUCUUCCUGCCAGCUUCACUCACGCCACUGGAUCAUCCGAUGUAAAGACACGGUUGUUUCGGAUAUGCAUGGGGAAGGUGUUAUUGGGGAGCACCCUUUACUUUUACCAGGGCAGGACGAGUUUGUCUAUGAGAGCUGCACGCCGCUGAAUGGCAGUAGUGGAUCUGUGGAGGGCUCUUUUACAUUUGUGCCUGGGAGGUUGACCCAGCCAGAAGGAAAACCAUUCGACGUCACGGUGGCUCCGUUCCCUCUGGAAGUACCCGACUACAUCUUCUGA
rnacentral:rRNA from 1 species